UAAGCAUUAAAAUUAUUAAUGAAAAGAAAUAAGUUUCAGUUCUUAGGAGUGGUAAUUUACUGUAGAUAAGGUAUCCACACUGUAAAACAUAUAUUAAAUUAUUUAUGAGACUGAGUUUAAGGUUAACCAAUGUUAUUGUUAAAUAAAAUACAGUGGACUCCUGGGGGAGAGAGCUUAUUAGUAAAGAACGGGUUUGAUAUGGUUAGCAGUUGUUUUUGCUUUAUUUGACCAUUAGAAGAUUUUUUAUUUAAAUAGUAUUAAAGUUGACAGGGAUAUAUGACAUAUGUGAUGAUUUAGGAUUAUUGAUAGGAUGGAGAUAGGUUGAUUAAGGUUAUGUAAGGACUUUAGAGAUUGACGCUAUAGACAUAUUUUUUCAAAAAAUCCAUGAUUUUAGAUAAAGCCAAAACAGUGAGACACUUAGUUAAUAUUUGGAAGGAACACAUAGUUUUUACUGACUAUCAUGAAAAAAGGCAGACAGAGGGGUCUACCCCGCACUGUUGAGACCUUGAAGGUUUGAGAGCAGAGAGGAGAGGGGGGACCAGGAAAGGAGCAAGGUAGGCUGUGAAAUAAGAUAGGAGAGAAAAGGGUUACUGUUUAAAUCAAUAAAUAUAUAUAUAUUUAAGAACAUAUAUAAGCAGCACAGAUACCUCUUAAAGUAGAUAAGUCACUUGACAGAGAAUUGGAAAAGGAUAGAUAUGAAUGGACGCCCAAGGGAGAAUUGAACAUGCGGAGAAUAAAAGGGGCGCUCCUACAUGAUAAGGUCAGACAUAAGGAUAAUUUACUAAUUUUACCUAAGUCAUUGGUUAGGUUAGGCAAUGUUGUUACCUGGCAGAGCCAAGUAUCAAAGGGGGGAUGGGUAAGUUGUGGUCUAGGAUAGGAUGUGGCCUAUUGGAUGAUAAACUAAU